rnacentral:rRNA from 1 species
AGGAUAAACGCUGGCGGCGUGCAUGAGACAUGCAAGUCGAACGGACGAUCGAGGCUUGCCUUGAUCGUUAGUGGCGGACGGCUGAGUAACGCGUAGGUGACCUGCCCCGAAGUGGGGAAUAACUGCCCGAAAGGGUGGCUAAUACCGCAUGUGGUGGUGUGUUCAUUCACACCAGUAAAGCCGCAAGGCGCUUCGGGAGGGGCCUGCGUCCGAUUAGCUCGUUGGUGGGUAACGGCUCACCAAGGCGACGAUCGGUAGGUGGUCUGAGAGGACGAUCACCCAGACUGGGACUGAGACACGGCCCAGACUCCUACGGGAGGCAGCAGUCGGGAAUUUUGCGCAAUGGACGAAAGUCUGACGCAGCAACGCCGCGUGAGGGAUGAAGGCCUUCGGGUUGUAACCUCUUUUAUCAGGGAAGAUAAUGACGGUACCUGAUGAAUAAGUCACGGCUAACUACGUGCCAGCAGCCGC